rnacentral:misc_RNA from 1 species
GUUGGGGCUCGUCGCGAUGCGGCGGCCCUUAAAGACAGUGGCGGUUCCGACGUGGGCUCUACGCGUAGUAACUUGCUUCU